rnacentral:rRNA from 1 species
UACGUAGGGUGCAAGCGUUAAUCGGAAUUACUGGGCGUAAAGCGUGCGCAGGCGGUUUUGUAAGACUGUUGUGAAAUCCCCGGGCUUAACCUGGGAAUGGCGAUGGUGACUGCAAGGCUAGAGUUUGGCAGAGGGGGGUAGAAUUCCACGUGUAGCAGUGAAAUGCGUAGAGAUGUGGAGGAACACCGAUGGCGAAGGCAGCCCCCUGGGUCAAAACUGACGCUCAUGCACGAAAGCGUGGGGAGCAAACAGG